rnacentral:rRNA from 1 species
GGACGCUCAUGAGGGUUUCGGCCCUUGUGGGAGUGGCGGACGGGUGAGUAGCGCGUGGGAACCUGCCCCUUUGUGGGGGAUAACCGAGGGAAACUUCGGCUAAUACCGCAUGCGCCCCUNGGGGGAGACCUUGGGGGGAAAGAUUUAUCGCAGAGGGAGGGGCCCGCGUCGGAUUAGGUAGUUGGUGGGGUAACGGCCUACCAAGCCUUUGAUCCGUAGCUGGUCUGAGAGGAUGAUCAGCCACACUGGGACUGAGACACGGCCCAGACUCCUACGGGAGGCAGCAGUGGGGAAUAUUGGACAAUGGGCGCAAGCCUGAUCCAGCAAUGCCGCGUGAGUGAUGAAGGCCUUAGGGUUGUAAAGCUCUUUCGGCGGGGACGAUGAUGACGGUACCCGCAGAAGAAGCCCCGGCUAACUUCGUG